GAAGCUGGCCAGGCAGUCGCUGCGCGGCGGGUUCGCCCAUCGCGGAGAGGAAAGUCCGGGCUCCACAGAGCAGGGUGCCGGCUAACGGCCGGAAGCCGCGAGGCUAUGGAAAGUGCAACAGAAAGCGAUACCGCCGAUGGCAUGCGUGCAUGCACAGGCAAGGGUGAAAAGGUGCGGCAAGAGCGCACCGCGUUCCUGGUAACAGGGACGGCAGGGCAAACCCCACCCGGAGCAAGACCAAAUAGGGGAACGAUAGUGUGGCUCGCACUGUUCCCGGGUAGGUUGCUUGAGUCCGCGGGCAACCGCGGACCUAGAGGAAUGACUGUCCCCGACAGAACCCGGCUUAUCGGCCAGCUUCUCUU
rnacentral:RNase_P_RNA from 1 species